AGUGAACGCUGGCGGUAGGCCUAACACAUGCAAGUCGAACGGCCGCACAGUAAGAUCUUUCUCUUACGGGUGGCGAGUGGCGGACGGGUGAGGAAUACAUCGGAAUCUACUUUUUCGUGGGGGAUAACGUAGGGAAACUUACGCUAAUACCGCAUACGACCUACGGGUGAAAGCAGUGGAUCUUCGGACCUUGCCCGAUUGAAUGAGCCGACGUCGGAUUAGCUAGUUGGCGUGGUAACGGCCCACCAAGGCGACGAUCCGUAGCUGGUCUGAGAGGAUGAUCCGCCACACUGGAACUGAGACACGGUCCAGACUCCUACGGGAGGCAGCAGUGGGGAAUAUUGGACAAUGGGCGCAAGCCUGAUCCAGCCAUACCGCGUGGGUGAAGAAGGCCUUCGGGUUGUAAAGCCCUUUUGUUGGGAAAGAAAAGCAGCAGGUUAAUACCCCGCUGUUCUGACGGUACCCAAAGAAUAAGCAACGGCUAACUUCGUG
rnacentral:rRNA from 1 species